CCGGGCCGGGCUCUGCUCUCACGCCGCGCCCGGGAGACCGGGGCUGGGGGGAAGGGGGGGGCGAAGGGCGGAAGGGGUGGGCGCGGGGAGCGGCCGGCGGGGUCCCGGGCAGGUGCAGCGGCCGCCCCGAGCGCAGCUCCCGCCUGGCCGAGCCUCUCGGCGCCCCGCGUCCCGGGCGGGCAGAUAUCGAGCGCCGCGGAGCCGCCCCCCGCGUCAGCGCCCACAGAUUGGCGGAGCCGCCGCCCCACGAGUCACGGCUGGGCCCGGGCCGGCUGCGCUCCCGCUCUCCUUCCUCCUCCCCUCGGCCGCGCCCCGCGACGCCUCUGAGCUCCGGGCCCGCUAAGGAGAGGGCUCCUCCUGCCCGCGGUUUGCAGAGGGAAGCGGCGGAGACCGGGAGGGCGCGCUCGGUUCUGGCCAGGCCAGCAGCUGCGGCCGAGUGGGGGGCUCCGGCCUGGCCGCUUCCUGGGACCCCCUCCCGCCCGGGGCCGCCGCCGCCAGCUGCAGCCUCUCGGCUCCUCCCCAGAGGAGCGCGGGGCCGGGGCCCAGGCCAAGUCCCUCCCCGGAGCCGCGGGGCGUCUGCGCCGCCGGAUGAGCUCCCCGCCGGGCGGCGACCCCGUGCCCCACGCCCGUCUCGGCAAGGAGGAGGCGGAGGCGGCCCCGCGAGAGAGGCCCAAGGAGCGACUGGGCCUGGACCCAGGGGACGCCAGGGCAGCGGAGCUCCCGGCACCGGUCCCGUCCCCCCCCCCCCGCCCACCCGCGGGACGCGCCCGCCUUAACCCUCCAGGCGCCGGGCCCGCUGGGGGCGCUGAGAGGGGCUGGUGUGCCGGGGGCGCCUUCCUGCUUGGGGCCGACGGGGGUGUGUGAGUGCAGGCGUGUGCGUGUGUGUGCGCAUGUGUGUGUGUGGAUGUGCGUGUGCGUGUGUAUGCCUGUGUGUGUUUGUGUGUGCGUCUGUGUGCAUGUGUGUGUGCACAUGCAUGUGUGUUCACGUGAGUGCAUCUCAUCUGUCACCCACAACCAGGGGAGCGGUGCUUGUACAACCAGCUGGUGGCUUCUGCAACCAGCAGCUUCUGGCCGUGCAGCUCCCUGUAGGGAAUAUGAGUUAAUCUGGAUGUCAGCCUAAGAUGUAGUCAGGGAGGUAAGUGUGUGGGAGGAGGCCACAUCCCCUGUGCCUCAAGCCGGCUGCUUCCACAGUGCCCAGACUGCCUGGGCCAGCAGCCUCGCCAGCAAGCCCAGGCGGGUGGGCCGGGAGCAGGGCCUGGGCCCCCCCUCUUACUUUCACCGGCUGGCUGUGUUACCAGGGCCCUCUCCGCCCUCUCUGAGCCUCAGUUUCCUCUGAUGUGAAUUAAGGGCGUUGAGCCCAUUGUUCCUGAGGAAUCACUCAUCUCUGAGCCUGGCCCAUUGCCUGGCAUUCCGUGGGCACCCACUAGAUACUUAUAAGGGGAGAAGUUGUUCCAGUCCGGCUGGCCAGUGGAAUCCAUGCGUCUUGGGCCAUUUGAACACAAGCAGUCGAGUUAAGACAGGAGCCUCGUUCAAAGUUCCGCCCGGGGCCAGGCACAGCGCAGGCUCUCAGAGGAGGGCCCAGGAGUCCACAGGCUGCGGCGGCGCGAGACAAAAGUCGGAAGACAGGACCCCGCUGAGGAGUGAGGAGACAGCGGCCAACCCUCCGCCAGACCCUUCCGCCUGGUGCCUUUACUGGGCUCUGAGGAGGAAUUUGGUGGUUCAGUCGGCCCAUCCGUGGACACCAUAAAAACAAAGAGAAAACAGACACACACAGAUGCACACAUAGAUACACACAGAUACACACAGACACGGAUAUAUAGACACACACAGAUACACACACGUGGACACAGACACACACAUAGACACAGAUAUAUAGACACACACAGAUACACACACGUGGACACAAACACACACAGACAUACCCAUAGUUACGGAUAUAUGCAUGGAUACACAAUACACAGACACACAGAUGAUACAUGCAUAGACAGAUAUAUGGACACACACACACGGACACACAGAUACACACAUAGACACAUAGACAGACACAGAUACAGACACAGGCACAUGUAGACACACAUGGACAUACAAUACUCAGAUGAACACAGAGAUAAUAUACACAUAGACACAGAUCUAUAGAUACACAAAGACAUACACACAGAUAUACAUAGAUGCACACAUAGACACAGAUACACAUGUCAUCACACAUGGACACACACAGACACACACCAAUACACACAUAGACAUACGAAGACACAGGUACACAGACACGUAUACACACAGACACGCAUAUAUACAUACAGACGCAGAUAUACACACAGACACAGACAUACACACACACACAGACACAGAUAUACACAGAUACAUGGACAGAUACACAUUCACAUACACACAUAGAUACACAGAAACACACAGACACACAGACACAUAGAGACACACACACAGCCACACAGGCCCUGAGCCUCCCUGGGCCCUCCCUUGUGCAGAGGCGGAGGGGCUGGCUGUCGGGGAGGGCACCUGGAGAGGACACACAGCCCCAUCAGAGACCAGGGAGUGGCUCUGGGAGCUCUUUUCGUCCAAAGGGGCUGGAGCUCCAGUUAGCCAAGGUGAGGGCGUGGAGGAUUCCUGGGGGAAGCUUCGUGCUGCAAGGUGGAAAAGACAGAUAACAAGAGAAAAACAGAAGCUUAAUAGCAUGUAUACCUUGGUCUGCAAGGGACGGACUCGGGACAGGCUAUGUCGCAAAGGCGUGGCUUGGAGCUCAGCCUUAAAGACCAUGUUCGACGGAAACAAAGAGAAAGAGUGUGUGGGGAGGGGCCCAAGAAAUUACCCCAAACUGGGGUCAGGCCUUCUCCAUGGAUGAGCGUCUCCGGUGACUUACAGGCGGCCUUCUGGCCCAGAGAGGGGGCACCCUGGUGAGCGCAGAUGCCUGUACGGAUGUGACUUUCUCUCAUAGAACAGCAGCUUCCACUCUUGUUUUCAGAAUUUCUCCUGUGGUUGCAGUUUCUCAAAAUAAGCAGCUCAAAAUAAUGCUUAUGCCAAAGAGGCAUAUUUUGGGGUGGCAUAUUCUGGUCUGCUCUACGUGGAAGCGGACAGAAAAAUGGGGCAGAGGCCAGGGAGGGGAGCGGGACCGACUUCCAGUUCCCAGACCCGAGCAAGGGAACCUGAGGCCGAGCUCUGGAGCUUGGGGUCUGGAAGGGGUUCUCUGAGGACACUCUGGGAGUGGGGGAACAGCUGCCUCCUCAGGUUUCCCCCAAGGGAUCCUGCCUGGGGAGACCUGGACUGGGCAAGGCUUGGCAGCUGCCCUGCCAGGAGGAGGGAGACGGCUGCAGUGGGGGGGUGCAGGGUCGCUGGGGUCCCACCCGGGGGUGCUGGGACCGGCCAGAGGACACUGCGAUUUCCCAAUGGGCCAGGAAGGAAGGAGGCGCUUUCCAGGCAGAGCAUGACCCCGCACAGGAGGCAGAGACAGAGUCUCUGAGUGUCCCCGUCAGGUCCCUGGGACUGUGGCAGGGGAAGAAGCCGCAGUACCUCCUGCCCUUUAGGACAGGAGAGGUUGUCGUCCCAGCGUUGCCCAGCAGCUGGUUGGAGCCCAGGGCUCCUCAGAUGAGCCAGCGCCUGAGCCCUGAGCUGCCAGCUGGCCUGGCUGGAGCCGCCACUGAUCUUCCCAGGAGAAAGAGGCCGCCGUGCGUAAGUAGCGAGGUAUAAGAGGACGUGUAGAGCCGUGUCGCUCGCGCAAGAAGGGGAAAGAAGGAAGCCUGUCUGCAUGGCUGCGCAGGGGAUAUUGGAACAGAACUGAAGGAACUCAUGCAACGCUUCUCUGUGAAGGGGGCACCGCGAUGUAUGGACAAGGGUGGGAAAGGGAUGCUGGGCCAUAAAGUUUGGGGUGCGUGAUGGUGUGGAGGAGAAAGCCCUCCUGGGAGCUGUGGCCAGGGAGUGUGCAGUCCACGAGCAGAUGGAGCUUUAUGUGCCUCCCACCUCCUCCCAGGGGCCCCCCACGACUCGCUGAGGCCCCAUCAGCAACAGGAUGACGGGUUUUCUUUCCCACACAGAUCGGGGACGUCCCAGCCUCCUGAGGUGGGGCAGAGGCGGGCACCGCAGCCCAAGAGCUGGCUUUCCCCCUGCACCUCCACCCAUGCGUUGGCCUGGAGUGGCCCAGCGGAGGGUCCAGGUGGGGGUGCUGGAGGGGCCCACCCAGCUCAGGCCUGGCACCUGCACCUUUCUGGAUCCCACGAUGUUUUGCUGAGGGUUACUCAUCCAAGACCUGCCCGGAGGCUCCGAGCUGUUUACCACAGGCCAGCUCUGGCCGUAGCCUAUUCUGGGAGCCUGGGGGUGCUGGGAGGAGGCUGGGGCUCUGGGUGGCAGGAGGAGGAGAGCCGUCUUGUCCUUACUGAGCGUCCAGCGGGCGCCAGAUGCUGCGCCGCGUGCAAUUCUAAUCCUGGCCGGCAAAGCCAGAACGGGACAAUAUUCCUUCCUCCCCAGGCCUCCCGCUUGGCUGUGGGUGCUGACGGGCAAUGGGCCUGGCUAUCGGGGCUCACAGGGGAGCCGGGAGAGCCGCUAGCAGGAGAAAAUGUGAGCUCUGCAUCUGCUGGGCUGGGUUCGGGGGACGCGGGGUGGCUGGGGAGGGUCGUGCUCGUCCCUCCGGCUGCUGUCGCUGGCCCGCCGGCCAGUCCGCCCCAACGCUGGACUCCUGGGCUAUCCGUUCCCCACCCACCGUCUGAGGGUCUUUGAAAAUAGAACUCAUUCGUUUUCAUUAAAAGCAACCGAUCAAGAAGCCGAAAACACAAGAAUAAAACAAUGUAAAAGCUUGACUUUAUUUUGUAUCCGUCAAACACAGGACUCACAGUCCGUUACACAUGGAGCAUUCGCAACACUGAUCAUGUUCUGAUGGUCACACAAUGUCGGGAAAUUCCAAAAGGCAGAUAAUCUAGAGUCUGUUCACGGCAUCCACACACACACACCGGUGCACAGGCACACGAGCACACAGUCUACAGAUUGUUCGUAGACACAGUGUGGUAUAAUGAACAAAAGCUGGCUUUAAAAAUAGUUCUACCUGGGCCCGGUGCGGUGGCUCACGCCUGUAAUCCCAGCGCUUUGGGAGGCCGAGGCGGGUGGAUCACCAGAGGUCAGGAGUUCGAGACCAG
rnacentral:lncRNA from 10 species